rnacentral:rRNA from 1 species
AGUGAACGCUGGCGGUAGGCCUAACACAUGCAAGUCGAACGGCAGCACAGUAAGAGCUUGCUCUUACGGGUGGCGAGUGGCGGACGGGUGAGGAAUACAUCGGAAUCUACUUUUUCGUGGGGGAUAACGUAGGGAAACUUACGCUAAUACCGCAUACGACCUACGGGUGAAAGCAGGGGAUCUUCGGACCUUGCGCGAUUGAAUGAGCCGAUGUCGGAUUAGCUAGUUGGCGGGGUAAAGGCCCACCAAGGCGACGAUCCGUAGCUGGUCUGAGAGGAUGAUCAGCCACACUGGAACUGAGACACGGUCCAGACUCCUACGGGAGGCAGCAGUGGGGAAUAUUGGACAAUGGGCGCAAGCCUGAUCCAGCAAUACCGCGUGGGUGAAGAAGGCCUUCGGGUUGUAAAGCCCUUUUGUUGGGAAAGAAAAGCAGCAGGUUAAUACCCCGCUGUUCUGACGGUACCCAAAGAUUAAGCACCGGCUAACUUCGUG